ensembl:lncRNA
GGGGAGGGGAGACGGGGUGCGGAGUAGGAAUCAGGGAGAGUGUGUGUAAGAAAGGGAGGGACCCUUCCCGGAAUAUGGGUGAUUAAAAAUAGGGAAUAGGGACAAUGCGGGUGCCUUGACUGUGAGUGACGUAAGAGGGGGAGGUAUUCAAUAUUUAAAAGGUAUUCUGAAGACGAAAGGAGAACUCCAUCAAUCCUCCAUCUUGUCCUUUGCCAAACCUCACCAUCAAAUGGACAGACAUAGUGAGAAGAGGGGUAGGAAAGGGCUGGAAACCCUGAAAUAUCCCUACAUGCCCCAAGUCAAUUUCAAUUUAAGGGGCUUUAUUGGCAUGGGAAACAUAUGUUUAAAUUGCUAAUGCCAGUUGAAUAGAUAAGAAACAAAAGUUGAAUAGACAAUAAAAAAUGUACAGUAAACAUUACACUUACAAAAGUUCAAAAAGAAUAAAGACAUUUCAAAAGUCAUUAUGUCUAUGUACAGUGUUGUAAUGAUGUGCAAAUAGUUAGUAGUUACAAAAAGUACAAAAAGGAAAAUGAAUAAAACAUAAAACAUGGGUUGUAUUUACAAUGGUGUGUGUUUUUCACUGGUUGCCCUUUUCUUUUGUCUAAUCUUGCUGCUGUGAUUGCACACUGUAGUAUUUUACAGAUUGUACACUGUGGAUUGUACACCGUGUAAUCUGAGGGAAAUAUGUGUCUCUAAUAUGGUCAUACGAUUGGCAGGAUGUUAGGAAGUGCAUCUCAGUUUCCACCUCGUUUUGUGGCCAGUGUGCACAUAGCAAAUCUCUUUACUUACUUACUGGGAUUACAAACGCAUAUCAGGUUAGGCAGCUAAUUGUUGACCGGGUAUGACUCAUAUAGAUCAAUGUGGGUAAUGGAGGAAACAUCCGGGUCAAAGCCUGGUAAAGAGAGAAAGGAGGUAGAAGACCUCUAAGAAGUUAUUAUGGGCAUCUUUAUUUCACAAUGAGACAGUGGCUUAUUAUCAAGUAUCAAAACCCAGUGGAUGAUUUCUAACGUAAUAACAACAUCAACGGAGGUUGAACAAUGUGCUGGUGAAUUGACUUCAUGCACACCCAUCAUAGACAUAGUCGCUCAGUAAAGUUCCUCCUCUCCUGGACUAGAGACGCCAACAACCAGGGUCAUCAGCAGAUUGCUGAGAAGAAUUCUCGUCUAGCGCGGAUACUGAACCACACCGCUCUGGGUAUCGGCAUCACCGUCAUCGUCCUGUACAUCGUCUCUGCCAUCAUCCUGGGCAACCGUAUCAACUGAUCUGACACCUCAACACCGGCUAGCACCACAGCCACCGCUUCUCUCAACCCCAGCACCCAAAAUCAUCAUAACCUUGACCACAUACAAUAGAGACGCCAACAACCAGGGUCAUCAGCAGAUUGCUGAGAAGAAUUCUCGUCUAGCGCGGAUACUGAACCACACCGCUCUGGGUAUCGGCAUCACCGUCAUCGUCCUGUACAUCGUCUCUGCCAUCAUCCUGGGCAACCGUAUCGACUGAUCUGACACCUCAACACCGGCUAGCACCACAGCCACCGCUUCUCUCAACCCCAGCACCCAAAAUCAUCAUAACCUUGACCACAUACAAUAGGUGACAGGCACUUUCCAAAGAGAUACAUCCCACUGGGGACACACUGGUUGAAUCAACGUUGUUUCCACGUCAUUUCAAUGAAAUGGCGUUGAACCAACGUGGAAUAUACGUUGAAUUGAUGCCUGUGCCCUGUGGGAUAUAUCAUAAUGCUGUUUAUUCAUCAAUGUUUAUGACAUACAUUUUGAAAAACUACAUCUAAUGACUUACUUUUUUUUAAUACCGGCAGACCGGAUAGUUUAAAUCAUUCAUUAUUUUGCCUGUUUAAUUGUAUAUGUAAUAUACAUAAAUAAACACCAAAUUAUGGACACAAAUUGUAUUUUGGAAUAUUUCUAAUACAUUUCUGAAGGAUAGUGUAUGUACAUUCAGUGUUUAUGGAUAAGUCAUAUCAGAGUUUAAAGACCGAUUUGACAAUGUUAUGAGAAUGCAGCAGAAAGAGACUAUUCUUAAAGUCUGAAAUGACAUGUAUUACUGGUUGUCAUUACACAGAGUGCCAGUGAGGUUACCACUCACAAGAGUAAACAUUUUACAACUCAAUGUCAAAUAUUUACUUCUUGUUACACGUGUAACAAUUUCCUCAAUUCAGUGUUCUUUGCUGUCGGCAAUGACACAAGCAAUAUCUAAUUCAACUUAUUUCUGACAACUGUGGAGACUAAGGCCUACAUUCAAUCUGUAGCAUGGAAGGUCCGUUGUAUAGCACGAUUGAAAUUUAAAGGUAAUUUCCGAUUGACUCAACAUAUCCAACAUUUACCGUGAAUGCAGUCUCCUCGAACGCAGGAACAUUUCUUUUUUUCCUUUUGGUACGGAUUGAAUCUAGCUCUAGAAGUCAAAAGGAAUUGCCACACUGUUCCUGUUUGGCCUUUCAGUUGAUUCAUUUGAUAAAAAUGUCCCCACUAUCAAUGUCAUUUAUAGUCACAUAUUGUCAGAUUAUGUAUAACGCUGUAUAGACAUAUAUUUUAUUUUACUAUAUAUUCAGUGAUGCUCAACUUUUCUAUCUACCUCUUCAAUUUUAUCCUUCUCUAAAGUAUGUAGUUGAUGGAAAAAAAUGUUUUUUGUUUGUGAAAACACAAAAGAAGAGGCCAUUAUCAGAAUACAGAUUUGUAAACCAAAAUAUUUUUAAAUAAAGCUCA